UCAUUCCACACUUGGGGCCACUGAUG
rnacentral:piRNA from 1 species